GAUGAAGAACGCAGCGAAGUGCGAUAAGUAAUGUGAAUUGCAGAAUUCCGUGAAUCAUCGAAUUUUUGAACGCAAAUUGCACUUUCUGGUAUUCCGGAGAGUAUGCCUGUUUGAGGGUCAGUAAAAUAAAAAUCGAUGUUGUUGUCACCGUAAUAACGCGUCGGAAUUGAGUCGUCUUACCUUCGGUUAAGUGACUUAAAAUUUUUACGCGAAUUCGAAACGUAUUUAAUGUUUAUGUACGUUUGCGAUAUUCCAAUAUAUUAGGUGCGGUCAUUCCUAUGAUUCGCGUCUAUAAUUUUUCAUUUCUUGACCUCAAAUCAGGUAAGAGUACCCGCUGAACUUAAGCAUAUCAAUAAGCGGAGGA
rnacentral:misc_RNA from 1 species